rnacentral:rRNA from 1 species
UGCGCAGGCGGGCUUGUAAGUCAGUGGUGAAAUACUGCCGCUUAACGGUAGAACUGCCAUUGAUACUGCAAGUCUUGAAUAUGGUUGAGGUAGGCGGAAUGUGUCGUGUAGCGGUGAAAUGCAUAGAUAUGACACAGAACGCCAAUUGCGAAGGCAGCUUACUAAGCCAUUAUUGACGCUGAGGCACGAAAGCGUGGGGAGCGAACAGGAUUAGAUACCCUGGUAGUA